rnacentral:lncRNA from 1 species
ACAUGGGGGAGUUGUAUUCGGCCACGUGGUGGACCAUGCUGUUGGGGAGGAUCAGGUAAGCCGUGGCUGUCUGGCUGUUCUCCAUCAGCUCCCGUUCCUUGUACUCCCGCUCUAACAUGAUGGUCUCCAGCUCCUUGUCGGCGAAGGCUCUCCUCUUCCUCAUGCGGUCGCUCAGAGGUGGCGGGAGAGAUGGGUUGGCGGCCAGGAAUGGAUCAGACUGGACCGGGCGAUAUCCUGUCAUCAGAGGAAUAGCCGUUUAAUACAACUGAUAGUUUCAUUUGUGAUGUAAAAGAGUUAAGUCAUGCCACACGUAUGCUGUAAAUGGAGUUAGGUGACCUUGAACAUGCUUAAAGGUUAAAUAUAUCAGUGCUUACAGUUGUUAGAAAGUCCUUAUCACUGUUAAGAGGAAGAGGAAGUUAAAGACAAGAGAGGAAAAGAAGUGUUCAGUGGAUUUUAGACAGUGGAAAAAAUAGAAAUGCAAGAGAAGAAAAUUCUUAAAUGAAAGAAAAAAAAAAAAAAAAAAAAAAAAAAAAAAAA